AAUCUUCCACAAUGGGCGAAAGCCUGAUGGAGCAACGCCGCGUGAGUGAAGGAGGUUUUCGGUUCGCAAAACUCUGUUGUAAGGGAAGAACAAGUACAGUAGUAACUGGUUAUACCUUGACGGUACCUUAUUAUAAACCUACGGCUAACGACGUGCUAGCCGCCGCAGUAAGACGUAGGUGGCAAGCGUUGUCCGGAAAUAUUGGGCGUAAAGCGCGCGCAGGCGGUCCUUUAGGUCUGAUGUGAAAGCCCACGGCUCAACCAUGGAGGGUCACUGGGAACUGGAGGACUUGAGUGCAGAAGAGGAAAGUGGGAUUACAAGUGUAGCGGUGAAAUGCGUAAAGAUUUGAAGGAACACCAGUGGCGAAGGCGACUUUCUGGUCUGUAACUGACGCUGAGGCGCGAAAGCGUGGGGAGCAAACAGG
rnacentral:rRNA from 1 species